GUCACUUAAUCCCCUUAGUGUUUGAUCCGUAGAUCAUUGUGUUUAAACAUGUGGGUCUAUUAUUAGCAAAAACUACACACAAACUUUAAAUAUCAUUCGAAGGGUUAAAAUUUUUGUCAUGUUUCACUCAUGAUGUGUUAGUAAGCAGUCACUCCAAACUCUGCAUUUUUUGUAAAACUAGUCCAUGAAUGAAGAUUUUAAAAGUGUUAGUUGUCUUGUUUCUAUGGAAACCAGCAGUAAUCUACACUGAUUACUGAACUCAGGGAAAGUAGAAUCAGAAGGUACCAUUAUGAAGAAGACACCUCUAUAAACUAUAAAGGUGGACACACCUGUUAUCUAAAUUAUGCGAUUUAUCCAGUUGAAGAGGCUUCUUCCACACGUGUGUAGAUACAGAAGAAGGCAAUUCUGCUUUUUGUAAAGUCGGGAAAAGAGAGCAUUCGUGAG
rnacentral:lncRNA from 1 species